rnacentral:rRNA from 1 species
CGUGCCCGCCGGCAUUAUCAGAAUCUCUGUUCGAACCCGACGAUACAUCUGAGUGUUCUAAGCGAACUGUUAAAACUUUCAACAACGGAUCUCUUGGCUCCAGCAUCGAUGAAGAACGCAGCGAAACGCGAUAUGUAAUGUGAAUUGCAGAAUUCAGUGAAUCAUCAAAUCUUUGAACGCACAUGGCGCCUUCCAGUAUCCUGGGAGGCAUGCCUGUCCGAGCGUCGUUUCAACCCUCGAGCCCCCGUGGCCCGGUGUUGGGGAUCUGCCCAGGCAGUCCCCGAAAACCAGUGGCGGACCCGUUGGGCCCUUCCUUUGCGUAGUAACAUCUGCCUCGCAUCGGGAGCCUGCGGGCUAUCCGGCCUCUAAACCCCCCUCAAGCCCGCUCCGGCGGCACCAAGGUUGACCUCGGAUCAGGUAGGAAUACCCGCUGAACUUAAGCAUAUCAAUAAGCGGAGGAAUCUUGCUGAAAAACUCGAGCCAUCCGGAAGAUCUGGCGGCCGCUCUCCCUAUAGUGAGUCGUAUUACGCCGGAUGGAUAUGGUGUUCAGGCACAAGUGUUAAAGCAGUUGAUUUUAUUCACUAUGAUGAAAAAAACAAUGAAUGGAACCUGCUCCAAGUUAAAAAUAGAGAUAAUACCGAAAACUCAUCGAGUAGUAAGAUUAGAGAUAAUACAACAAUAAAAAAAUGGUUUAGAACUUA